rnacentral:rRNA from 1 species
GUGGGGAAUAUUGGACAAUGGGCGAAAGCCUGAUCCAGCAAUGCCGCGUGAGUGAUGAAGGCCUUAGGGUUGUAAAGCUCUUUUACCAGGGAUGAUAAUGACAGUACCUGGAGAAUAAGCUCCGGCUAACUCCGUGCCAGCAGCCGCGAUAAUACGGAGGGAGCUAGCGUUGUUCGGAAUUACUGGGCGUAAAGCGCACGUAGGCGGUUACUCAAGUCAGAGGUGAAAGCCCGGGGCUCAACCCCGGAACUGCCUUUGAAACUAGGUAACUAGAAUCUUGGAGAGGUCAGUGGAAUUCCGAGUGUAGAGGUGAAAUUCGUAGAUAUUCGGAAGAACACCAGUGGCGAAGGCGACUGACUGGACAAGUAUUGACGCUGAGGUGCGAAAGCGUGGGGAGCAAACAGGAUUAGAUACCCCAGUAGUCC